GACGAACGCUGGCGGCGUGCUUAACACAUGCAAGUCGAACGGAAAGGCCCUGCUUUUGUGGGGUGCUCGAGUGGCGAACGGGUGAGUAACACGUGAGUAACCUGCCCUUGACUUUGGGAUAACUUCAGGAAACUGGGGCUAAUACCGGAUAGGAGCUCCUGCUGCAUGGUGGGGGUUGGAAAGUUUCGGCGGUUGGGGAUGGACUCGCGGCUUAUCAGCUUGUUGGUGGGGUAGUGGCUUACCAAGGCUUUGACGGGUAGCCGGCCUGAGAGGGUGACCGGCCACAUUGGGACUGAGAGACGGCCCAGACUCCUACGGGAGGCAGAAGGAAGGAAUAUUGCACAAUGGGCGGAAGCCUGAUGCAGCAACGCCGCGUGCGGGAUGACGGCCUUAGGGUUGUAAACCGCUUUCGCCUGUGACGAAGCGGGAGUGACGGUAAUGGGUAAAGAAGCACCGGCUAACUACGUG
rnacentral:rRNA from 1 species